GAUAAAAAAAGAAAAUAAAAUUUAUUUGAUAGAAAUAUACUAAAAUAUUAUAUUAUAAAAAUAACAUAGAGUAAAGUUUAUUAAAAUAAAAUUAAUUCCUAUAGAACAAUACUGUAAAGGAAAUUUGAAUUAAGUUAAAACUAAAAGAAAAAAAGAAAGAACAAAUCUGUACCUUUUGUAUUAUGGAAGGCUAAAAAAAUAAAGAAGUGUUUUUAUAAACGAAAUAAUAUGAGUUAUUUGUUUCCCCAUAAUUGAUGGUGUGGUCUAACUGUAGAAAAAUUAUGACUAGAGGAACAAAUAGUAGUGAAAUGCUAAUCGAAUAUUAUUAUAGCUUUUUUUCAGAGAAAUUAGUGUUAGCUAAAAUAAAAUUAUUUUUUUGGAAAACUAGUCGGCUGAUCGAUUAGUUUUUGGAGGUAAUAACCUUAAAAUUAAAGAAAAGACAAUAAAUAAAUUGAGAAUUGUGAAGAAGUAGGAUUUAAGCAUCCCUCUAUUAAGAAAGCGUUUGAGCUCCUUUAACAAAACAUUAGAAAUUAUUGAUAGUUAUUCUGUUCUUAUUAUAUUUUAUCUGACUUAUGAAAAUUAUUCAUGUAAUAAUGGCUUUAUGAGUAAAAUAACUUUAUUUUAAGUAAUAAUAAUAGUAAUAAUAUAAAAUAAAAUACUACCAUAAAUUAUUCUUAUCUUAGAAGAGAAAUUAAAUAACAACUAUAGGGAGAGGAACUCGGCAAAUUUUUCUCUCGCCUGUUUACCUAAAACAUCGCUCCUAGAUAACUAAUUAAGGGGUCCUGCCUGCCCAGUGAUCUGAGGAUUAAACGGCUGCGGUACUCUGACCGUACAAAGGUAGCAUAAUCAUUUGCCUGUUAAUUCCAGGCUGGAAUCAACGGCUAGACGAAGGGGAUACUGUCUUUCUCUAUAAAAUUAGAAAUUAGUUUUUUGGUGAAGAAACCAAAAUAAUAAAGUGGGACGAGAAGACCCUAUUGAGCUUUAGUUUUAUAUAAUAAUCGUUUAUUAUAAAAUCUUUAGUUGGGGCAACUGAUUUUACACUAAAACAAAAUCAAAAAAAAGAAUUGAGUCUACUAUUUUGACCCAUAAAAAUUGUGGUAAUUAGAAAAAGUUACCAUAGGGAUAACAGCGUAAUUUUCUUUGAGAGUACAUAUUGACAAGGAAGUUUGCGACCUCGAUGUUGGAUCAAGAUAUCCUGGAGGUGCAGCCGCUUCCAAGGGUGGGUUUGUUCAACCCCUAAAAUCUUACGCGAUCUGAGUUCAGUCCGUCGUGAGACAGGACAGUUUCUAUCUACUAACAUUUCCUUCUUGUACGAAAGGACUUUUGGAAAAUAAAAAAGGGCUAUAGCUCAUUUAUAUAAAAUAUU
rnacentral:rRNA from 1 species